ACCUGGCUGGCUCAGUCGGAAGAGCACGUGACUCUUGAUCUUGGGGUUGUGAGUUUGAGCCCCACGUUGGGUG
rnacentral:tRNA from 1 species